CCUACGGGAGGCAGCAGUGGGGGAUAUUGGACAAUGGGGGAAACCCUGAUCCAGCGACGCCGCGUGAGUGAAGAAGUAUUUCGGUAUGUAAAGCUCUGUCAGCAGGGAAGUAAGAAAUGACGGUACCUGACCUAGAAGCCUCGGCUAACUACGUGCCAGCAGCCGCGGUAUUACGGAGGGGGCAAGCGUUAUCCGGAAUUACUGGGUGUAAAGGGAGCGUAGGCGGUGAUGCAAGUUAGGAGUGAAAGGCGGGGGCCCAACCCCCGGACUGCUCUGGAAACUGUGUAACUUGAGUGCAGGAGAGGUAGGCGGAAUUCGUGGUGUAGCGGUGAAAUGCGUAGAUAUUAGGAGGAACACCGGUGGCGAAGGCGGCUUACUGGACUGUAACUGACGUUGAGGCUCGAAAGCGUGGGGAGCAAACAGGAUUAGAUACCCCUGUAGUC
rnacentral:rRNA from 1 species